AUUGAACGCUGGCGGCAUGCCUUACACAUGCAAGUCGAACGGCAGCACGGGGGCAACCCUGGUGGCGAGUGGCGAACGGGUGAGUAAAGCAUCGGAACGUGCCCGGAAGUGGGGGAUAACGUAGCGAAAGUUACGCUAAUACCGCAUAUUCUGUGAGCAGGAAAGCAGGGGAUCGCAAGACCUUGCGCUUUCGGAGCGGCCGAUGUCGGAUUAGCUAGUUGGUGAGGUAAAAGCUCACCAAGGCGACGAUCCGUAGCUGGUCUUAGAGGAUGAUCAGCCACACUGGGACUGAGACACGGCCCAGACUCCUACGGGAGGCAGCAGUGGGGAAUGUUGGACAAUGGGGGCAACCCUGAUCCAGCCAUGCCGCGUGUGUGAAGAAGGCCUUCGGGUUGUAAAGCACUUUUGUCAGGAACGAAAAGGUAUUCAAUAACACUGGAUGCUGAUGACUGUACCUGAAGAAUAAGGACCGGCUAACUACGUGCCAGCCGCCGCGGUAAAAC
rnacentral:rRNA from 1 species